rnacentral:rRNA from 1 species
GACGAACGCUGGCGGCGUGCUUAACACAUGCAAGUCGAACGGAAGGGCCCUGCUUUUGUGGGGUGCUCGAGUGGCGAACGGGUGAGUAACACGUGAGUAACCUGCCCUUGACUUUGGGAUAACUUCAGGAAACUGGGGCUAAUACCGGAUAGGAGCUCCUGCUGCAGGGUGGGGGUUGGAAAGUUUCGGCGGUUGGGGAUGGACUCGCGGCUUAUCAGCUUGUUGGUGGGGUAGUGGCUUACCAAGGCUUUGACGGGUAGCCGGCCUGAGAGGGUGACCGGCCACAUUGGGACUGAGAUACGGCCCAGACUCCUACGGGAGGCAGCAGUGGGGAAUAUUGCACAAUGGGCGGAAGCCUGAUGCAGCAACGCCGCGUGCGGGAUGACGGCCUUCGGGUUGUAAACCGCUUUCGCCUGUGACGAAGCGUGAGUGACGGUAAUGGGUAAAGAAGCACCGGCUAACUACGUG